GUUUUUUUCAGGGCAACUUUUGGCCUUACACGUGUGGAUGAAGACGCUUCCCUUGCAUUUCACCUGGAAGAUGCUCUGAGGUUCCAGCAUUAAGCAUGUUCCCUGCUCUGCUUUGACACACAUCGCCCUGCACGGCACAGAGCCUGGCCAGCUUCCUCCUCCCUCCUGGCUCCACGGGCCUCCCAGCAGGGAUGCAGCUCCAAGAUCACCAACACAGCUUCAGAAUUACCUGGGAGAACAGAAGAGAAAAGGCUCUGGAGAACAGAUGCAGUACAGCAGGAAACUUUGCCAUGAGCC
rnacentral:lncRNA from 1 species